rnacentral:rRNA from 1 species
GAUGAACGCUAGCUACAGGCUUAACACAUGCAAGUCGAGGGGAAACGAUGAGAGAGCUUGCUCUCUUAGUCGUCGACCGGCGCACGGGUGAGUAACGCGUAUCCAACCUGCCUCUGACCAAGGGAUAACCCGUCGAAAGUCGGACUAAUACCUUAUGCAGUCGUCGGAAGUCAUCUGAUGACGACGAAAGAUUUCAUCGGUGAGAGAUGGGGAUGCGUCUGAUUAGCUUGUUGGCGGGGUAACGGCCCACCAAGGCGACGAUCAGUAGGGGUUCUGAGAGGAAGGUCCCCCACAUUGGAACUGAGACACGGUCCAAACGCCUACGGGAGGCAGCAGUGAGGAAUAUUGGUCAAUGGGCGUAAGCCUGAACCAGCCAAGUAGCGUGCAGGAGGACGGCCCUAUGGGUUGUAAACUGCUUUUAUGCGGGGAUAAAGUGAGGGACGUGUCCUUCAUUGCAGGUACCGCAUGAAUAAGGACCGGCUAAUUCCGUG